ACCAGGAUCCGCUCCGUCCGGUCACCCAGCUGCGAGAACAUCAGCCCGUACACCGUCCACGCCGCAGGGUCCGCCCAGUACACCCACCGCCACCACACGGGCAUCAGCUGCACCAUCGGUUACCAUUCCUCUUCGUCAGGGAUACCUCAUACCUCUCUCGCGAUGAUGAAGCCGGAGAAGACGUUCCAGAAGAUGAAGAUGAGGAACGACAGCCCCAUGGCGAUCUCGAUGUUGGGGGUCAGCGCCACCGUCAUCAUCCCGUACAGCGUGUAGUACAUGAAGCUCAUCACCAGGUACAGGAAGAACCAGAAGAACUUGCCCGCAGUCAGCUCGAACCCGAUCAUUGGGUACACGAUCGACGAGAAGAUCAGCACCUGCACCAGCAUGUAAGAACGUUACCUGAGCAAUGGCGUAGGCCAUGGUGGAGUACAUGCCUGCCGCCUUUUCGCGGUAGAGCACGACUCUCUCCGUUGCCACCACGGGCUGCAGGAUGCUGCAAUUCAUGAAACCCAGGAACAGUGCCGACGCGUAUACGAUCCCAAGUGAAUGGGGACGUCCAAUAUCCCCAGCGCAACCAUGGUUGGAGAUCAUCUGUUUAAUGUACAGAACUGUAUUGUUCGUACUACACAGUUUUUCUUCUGCUAGUCGAGGGAGAUAUGACAUUCGGAAUGCUUCUGCAAAUUUUUCAAUUGAAUGGUACUGAUACUUAUUUGGAUCGCCAGCCCAGUACUGCUUUUGGUCCAUCUUUGAGGUUACCUGGUCAGUGGCCAAUUGGAGAAAAAAUAUUAACAUUAUUUUGCACAACAUAUAGUGCAGAAUACUGAUAGUUACUGCAUGGAAUUGACAUUCCAAUGAUGUUCAAAUGAAUGCUCACUAUAUGCAAGAGGAUGUCUUACCAAAUUCAUUAUUGGUUCCCAGCAUCUUGGAAGAGAAGUCGAUCGUCUCUCUUACUGUCAUCUCAGCAUGGUGAAGAUCAUACUGGCUAACAUAAGCACGCAGGGCCGGGGAAGGCUACGAGCAGCAGGCCGGGGCAUCGGACAAGCUCGUCAUCGUUGCUGCCGCCAUUGACACCGUGUAUGAGGUCGGAGUGGCCGGAUUUAAGAAUUCAAGAUGCUCGCAGCAGCCGCACACAGGACGCCAGCUUAUGAUGGCCGUUCACCCCUGAGGUCCGCGUUGCUUCCUACGCCGAGGGACCUCGUACACUGAAGACCUAACCAGACGUGUGUUGAAGGCUGCCCAACCCAACCAGGGCCCCAGCUGGCUACGAGGCUCUGCGCCUCUGUCUCCGUCGAAAAUCUCAGGACAUGGGGUUGGGGUCCGUCGCCAGAUCGAGCUGAAUAUGCAUCGGAGGCCUGGCCGCCCAUGACACUGCUCGAUCGAUCACUUGUGUUAAUUUAUGACACCAUCUUUAUUAUCUGGAGAUGUGGUCCCGUGCAUGAGAUAGAUAUUGGAGAGUUUAUAUAUAGCAGGAGCCAGCAGCUCCAGCUGAUGCUUGACAGGACACUCUGCUUGUCCUACGUGAAGAAAUCCUCGGAUUUUCAGUUA